rnacentral:rRNA from 1 species
CCUACGGGAGGCAGCAGUGAGGAAUAUUGGUCAAUGGGCGUAAGCCUGAACCAGCCAAGUAGCGUGAGGGAUGAAGGUUCUAUGGAUUGUAAACCUCUUUUAUAAGGGAAUAAAGUGUGGGACGUGUCCUGUUUUGUAUGUACUUUAUGAAUAAGGAUCGGCUAACUCCGUGCCAGCAGCCGCGGUAAUACGGAGGAUCCGAGCGUUAUCCGGAUUUAUUGGGUUUAAAGGGAGCGUAGGCGGGCUGUUAAGUCAGUGGUGAAAGUUUGUGGCUCAACCGUAAAAUUGCAGUUGAAACUGGCAGUCUUGAGUAUAUUUGAGGCAGGCGGAAUGCGUGGUGUAGCGGUGAAAUGCUUAGAUAUCACGCAGAACCCCGAUUGCGAAGGCAGCCUACCAAGC